UNUGUGUGUGCAUAGCUGGCUGUUGCUGCUU
rnacentral:piRNA from 1 species